rnacentral:tRNA from 1 species
GGGCGGCUGGCCUAAUGGUAAGGCGUCUGAUUUCGGCUGAGCAGUGCUCAAAAAUCUCAGAAGACUUGCAGGUUCGAUCCCUGCGUCGCUCA